AUUACAAAGGUGUGGGAAAGGCUCUGCUUGGUUCACUGGAAAAAUAGAAUGUGAGAACAAUUCAUCAGCAUCAGGUAUAGUGCUGUAAUAGGAAUGCUGCACGUCAACUGACACACCUUAGAACGAUGGGGAGGGAGCAUCUUUUCGUAUGAGAUGGAGUAUUAAAUGGCCAGUAUCUCCAGACCUCCUCACUCAGACAACUAGGACACUCAGAGAGGACAACAGGGUUACAUUAUACUCAGUGGCCUAUUGACAUAAAGGAUUUUUCACUGUAUUGAUUUAUUUAAUGAUCAAUUUGAGUUUGUAGAAAUGUUUUUAUACAGACACACACACAUACACACACAAGAAUAUUUUGGUGCUUGUGGUGCUGGUGUCUUAAUUGGUAAUGUUGGUAUUGUAUACAUUGUGGUGUAUUGUAACCAUAUCUUUCUAAUUUCAGACAAACUGAUACACAUGGCCAUCUAUAUGCUGUCCAUAGGUCUUGCCCUGCUACUAAUGUGUUUUCCCAUCAAGGGUUUACCAAGCCAGCGCAACUCCAACAUUGAGUUCUACAGCGACCUAGAGCGGUCACACCUAUUGCUAAGAGAAAGAGGCUCUCUCACUGCGUUAGACUCCAGAAACAAUGGUCACACAGAGAAUGGCCUGCUUGAGGAGGAUUCUGAAUUCAUAUUGGUCACUCCAACAAGCAAGUUCAGCCCCAAAAGUGAAUUGCAUGACCUUGUCUCAAAGGAGGAAGGCCUAUCUACCAAGAAAAAGUCUUCAGACACCCUGUCACGAUUCCGGCGGGAAAAUGUAAAAUUUCUAUACAAGUAAACUAAGGCACAACAACAACUACAACAACAGCAGCGCCAACG